AUUGAACGCUGGCGGGAUGCUUUACACAUGCAAGUCGAACGAGUGGCGGACGGGUGAGUAACAUAUCGGAACGUACCGAGUAAUGGGGGAUAACUAAUCGAAAGAUUGGCUAAUACCGCAUAUUAUUCGAGCGGCCGAUAUCUGAUUAGCUGGUUGGUGGGGUAAAGGCCUACCAAGGCGACGAUCGGUAGCGGGUCUGCAAGGAUGACCCGCCACACGGGGACUGAGAAACGGCCCAGACUCCUACGGGAGGCAGCAGUGGGGAAUUUUGGACAAGGGGCUCAACCCUGAUCCAGCCAUCCCGCGUGUCUGAAGAAGGCCUUCGGGUUGUAAAGGACUUUUGUCAGGGAAGCGGUAUCUGAAGAAUAAGCACCGGCUAACUACGUGCCAGCAGCCGCGGUAAUAC
rnacentral:rRNA from 1 species